rnacentral:rRNA from 1 species
GGGGAAUUAGGGUUCGAUUCCGGAGAGGGAGCCUGAGAAACGGCUACCACAUCUAAGGAAGGCAGCAGGCGCGCAAAUUACCCAAUCCUAAUACAGGGAGGUAGUGACAAGAAAUAACAAUACAGGACUUUUUGGUUUUGUAAUUGGAAUGAGUUAAGUAUAAACCCCUUUACAAGUAUCAAUUGGAGGGCAAGUCUGGUGCCAGCAGCCGCGGUAAUUCCAGCUCCAAUAGCGUAUAUUAAAGUUGUUGCAGUUAAAAAGCUCGUAGUUGGAUUUCUGUUAAUAAUUUAUAUAAAAUAUUUUGAUGAAUAUUUAUAUAAUAUUAACAUAAUUCAUAUUACUAUUUUUUUUAGUAUAUGAAAUUUUACUUUGAGAAAAUUAGAGUGCUUAAAGCAGGCAUAUGCCUUGAAUACUCCAGCAUGGAAUAAUAUUAAAGAUUUUUAUCUUUCUUAUUGGUUCUAAGAUAAGAAUAAUGAUAAU